CCCUUAGAUGUUCUGGGCCGCACGCGCGCUACACUGACGGAGUCAACGAGUUGUCCUGCAUCGGAAGGUGUGGGUAAUCUUUUGAAACUUCGUCGUGCUGGGGAUAGAUCUUUGCAAUUUUCGAUCUUGAACGAGGAAUUCCUAGUAAGCGUAAUUCAUCAGAUCGCGUUGAUUACGUCCCUGCCCUUUGUACACACCGCCCGUCGCUACUACCGAUUGAAUGGUUUAGUGAGGCCUCGGGACUGGCGCGCUCGAGUAGCAAUACACCUGCGCGCCGGGAACUUGGUCAAACUUGAUCAUUUAGAGGAAGUAAAAGUCGUAACA
rnacentral:rRNA from 1 species